rnacentral:rRNA from 1 species
CAUCUCAAACCUUUGCGUACCAAAUCUCGUCUCUUGCGGGGGGUCCGCCCCCCGCGAGGAACCAAAACAGUCGUCUGAUGUUGUCAGAAACUCACAAAAGAAAACAACUUUCAACAAUGGAUCUCUUGGCUCCGGCAUCGAUGAAGAACGCAGCGAAAUGCGAUAGCUAGUGUGAAUUGCAGAUUUUAGUGAAUCAUCGAGUCUUUGAACGCACAUUGCGCCCUUUGGUAUUCCUCAGGGCAUGCCUAUUCGAGCGUCGUUUCGACCUCGAGCGCAGCUUGGUGUUGAGGGAUGCCCCGGCACCCUUUAAAAGCAUCGGCGGCAGCGCAGCUUCAUCGCAGCACAAUGCGUGAAGAGCUGUCACCUGCCCGCCUUUCUCCCCCCUAGGGGACUUUUUACCAGCUCGACCUCGGAUUAGGCAGGGAUACCC